GGGCGGGUAGCUCAGCGGUAGAGCAGGUGACUCUUAAUCACUUGGCCGAGGGUUCGAUCCCCUCCUCGCCCACCA
rnacentral:tRNA from 1 species